UUUGAGAAGAUUUGUGUACAGAAUUUUAUUGAGGGCUACACUCAGAAAUAAUACAGUUGCCUACUUUACACCAACUGAGAAGACUCAUCCAAUCCUUGAGAGGCCCUAAGUGAAAGGAAUGAGGCCCUUCAAGGAGGAAGAGAGUCCAUCUGCAGCCAGUCUUGAAAUUACGAUUAUAAUCAAUUCUUGAUGAAAUUUCCAGCCUGUUUACCUACCCUACAGCUUGAUCACUUGCCAAGCUCCACAAUCACAUGGCCCUUCUGUAAGGCAGUCCUUGUCGUUAGUGGAUCUUCCUCACCAAUCACUUCAUCGGCCGGGGCUGACGCUUGGUGAAAAACACUCUUUCUCCCUCCGUUUCAUUCUUCCUUCCUGGAGAGAAAGAGAAGGGAAUGGAGGAGGCGGCAGGCGAUUUGUUCCAGUGAUUAAUGUGCGGAGAGUAAUCAAUCUCUCCCUCACCCAAUUUCGUUGUUGACUUUUUCAUCUGAAGCACAAACUAUGGUUUACAGCCUUUGUUCUUGGCUUUGGCACACGCGUGGCGGGAGGGUCCAAAUAGCGAAUCCCAGAAAGGCUCUCUUAAUAAGGUGAUGAAAGUGUUCGUUCAACGCAAAUUAGAGAAGUUAGUCUUCCCGUU